rnacentral:rRNA from 1 species
GUGAGGAAUUUUCCGCAAUGGGCGAAAGCCUGACGGAGCAAUGCCGCGUGAAGGAUGAAGGCCUAUGGGUUGUAAACUUCUUUUCUCAGAAAAGAAUUAUGACGGUAUCUGAGGAAUAAGCAUCGGCUAACUCUGUGCCAGCAGCCGCGGUAAGACAGAGGAUGGAAGCGUUAUCCGGAAUGAUUGGGCGUAAAGCGUCUGUAGGUUGUUUAAAAAGUAUUCUGUCAAAGAUUAGGGCUUAACCCUAGAUAGGCAGAAUAAACUUUUAAGCUAGAGUUUGGUAGAGGCAGAGGGAAUUCCCGGUGGAGCGGUGAAAUGCGUAGAUAUCGGGAGGAACACCAAAGGCGAAGGCACUCUGCUGGGCCAAUACUAACACUGAGAGACGAAAGCGAGGGGAGCAAAUGGGAUUAGAAACCCGAGUAGUCC